GGAAAAUUAGAUUGAAUACCACUUUUCAGAGAAAGUUUAGGCCCAGUACCACAUUUGGGAAAAGCUUUUGAAAUGUACCACAUUUCAAUGCCACAUGCUUAAAGCCGGACGAAAUUGCCCUUAAUGGAGAGAGAAGUGCGUGUCAUAGAAAGGGACAACUUGGGACAGGAGGGAACAGUCUGCAUUUAAUGCUGCACGUUUACAAAAUUUCUGCCGUCCUUUUUGUCUCUCUCCGGGCGCAUUGGUAACCGUUUUCGUCCCUCUGUCUGGUAAAACGAAAUUGUCCCCGAGUAAAUCCAGAUCUUCGUCUUCGGCUCUCUGGCAGAAUAAAAUAAAGAUCAAGUUGUCUCCGAGUUAAUCCAGAUAUCUGGCUGGUAAAACCACACCAUUUGGCGAUGGAUAAUUAAGAGAUGUUGUCCCCGAGUAAAUCCAGAUCUCUGCAGGCUGGUAAAACCAUAUCAUCUGGGAUUCAUGAUAAUAGAGCAAGCUGAUGAAAUCGGAGACAAGAUCUAGACGCAACAGAGAAUUUUCAACCGGGGACAAGAUCUAGAGACAAAACGAAAGCGUUUAUUAUGAGACAAGAUCUGAAGAAGAAAGAGAAAGGGAAAGUGAGAGAGAGA
rnacentral:lncRNA from 1 species